ACAGACGAGUGAUGAGCGGAUAAUUUAUACGCUUUUUGGCAUUGUUUUUAGGUAGUUUUUAGUAAUUUCUGGCUGAAAUUGAGGGACUUGAGCAAAACUCUGAAAAAAGGCUGACAAAAGGACUGGUAAUGCUGUUGGAAUCUGACCUCCCUGCACUCAAAAUAGAUUUUCUGGAGCUACAGAACUCCAAAUGGCGCGCUCUCAACGGCGUUGGAAAUUAGACAUUCAGGGCUUUCCAG